rnacentral:rRNA from 1 species
CGUUAGUGGCGGGACGGGUGAGUAACGCGUGGGAACCUGCCUUGCACCGGGGGAUAACACUUAGAAAUAGGUGCUAAUACCGCAUAAGCGCACAGAGCCGCAUGGCUCGGUGUGAAAAACUCCGGUGGUGCAAGAUGGACCCGCGUCUGAUUAGCUGGUUGGCGGGGUAACGGCCCACCAAGGCGACGAUCAGUAGCCGGCCUGAGAGGGUGAACGGCCACAUUGGGACUGAGACACGGCCCAAACUCCUACGGGAGGCAGCAG